AUUUUUUAUUGAAAUAUGAAAAGAACAAAAAGGCUAAAUUUAUGGGGGAGAAAGUGUUACAGCAAAAUAUGGAUGGAAUUUGUGUCACUUCAUCCCCUAUUUAUAGUACUAAGAAACCUAGCCUAUUCUUAAUUAAAUUCUAAAAGAUAAAUACAAAUAAAUAAAGAUAAUUAAAGUUAAUUAAAGGUAAAUGAAAAUAAAUCCUAAAAUUAAAUCAAAAUAAUAAUCCUUAAUAAUUAUCCUAAUAUAAUUAAACAUUAAAUAGAGUCUCGUGCUGUAAAAUCUCUUAUUUUGCACUUUUGCCCUUUAUGUCUUUCAUACUUGCAUUUUUGGCACCACCUUUUUCCCUAUGUCGCAUGUUGGCCCAUUGUAUCUUCAAAUUUGCACUUUUUGCCCUUAAAAUUUCUUUUGCCUCCAAUUUAGUCCGUGAAAGAUAAAAGACCAUAAAUAUCUCAAAUUAGUAAGGUCAUACACAAAAUAAACAUGCAAUUAGCACAAAAAAUAUGUCGUUCUAGAGUAUUAUCAGAUGGCUACUUAUACAGAAGAGGAAAUUGUUGAAACGUUGAAAGGAAUGGGGCCUACAAAAGCUUUAGGUCCAGAUAGUUUUCCGACAGUAUUUUACCAAUAGUAUUGACAUAUUAUUGGUAAAAAUACUAGAGUUUUCUAUUUGGAUAUUUUGAAUAAUGGCAAAUCUUUAAAAGAAAUAAACAGAACUCAGUUGGUUUUAAUUCCAAAAAUUGAAAAUCCUCUCAAUUUGAAAAAUUUUCGUCCUAUUAGCCUCUGUACGGUUAUCUAUAAGAUUAUUUCCAAGUCAGUUUCUAACCGUUUACAAAAGGUACUAGAUAUCUAUAUUAAUGACUUUCAAAGUGCUUUUGUGCUGGUAGGCUUAUAACUGACAAUGUGUUGUUGGCGUAUGAGGUACUUCACUCUUUCAAGAACAAAAGAUCAGGGAAAAAAUUAUUUAUGGCUCUAAAGCUGGGUAUGAGCAAGGCUUAAGAUCAAGUGGACUAGCAUUUUCUUAAAAGUAUGAUGUCAAAAUUGGGCUUUGUCGAUCCAUUUAUUUAUUUUAUAUUUCACUGUAUUAUUCGGUCCAUUAUUCAAUUUUACUUAAUUGUGAAGAAGGUUUUAGUUUCAAUCCAUUAAGAGGGCUACGUCAAGGGGAUCCUUUAAGCCCUUACUUAUUUCUGUUCUGUGGAGAAGGGGAUCCUUUAAGCCCUUACUUAUUUCUGUUCUGUGGAGAGGGUUUAUCUGCACUGAUGAGACUUGCAAGCCAGGAAAGGAAAAUUUUAGGAGCAAAGGUAUGUAAAUCUUCCCCACCAAUAACCCACUUCAUGUUUGUAGAUGAUUGUAUACUGUUUGUAAAGGUUUCAGAUAGGGAGAUUAAUGUGAUUAGAGAUAUUCUAAGAGAAUAUGAAUUUUGCUCGGGCCAAUGUGUAAACUUUGAAAAAUCCACGAUUUUUUUUUUCAAUUUGAAUGUGGAUGAUUAGGAUAAGAACUUGGCUUUCCAAGUACUUAAUGUUCGCUGUUUGAUUGAUCUAGAGAAAUAUUUGGGGUUACCGAAUAAGGUGGGUCAAAGAAGGAAAAUGGCUUUCCAAGCCUUGAAGGACAGAUUGAAGCAGAAGAUUAAUAGCUGGAAUAUAAGAUAUAUCUCAUAAUGUGGCAAAGAGGUAUUUAUUAAAGCCGUUUUACAAGCAAUUCCUACAUACACGAUGUCUUAUUUUCUUUUGCCAAAAACUUUUUGUGUGGAGACAGAAUAUAAUAGGGCCCUUUUGGUGGAAAAAAAUCAAGGGAAGAGAGGAAUGCAUUGGUGUGACUAGAAGUCGUUAUGUGCGCUUAAGAAAGAGAGUGGUAUGGGGUUUCGUAAUUUGAAUUUUUUUAAUAUUGCAUUACUGGCCAAAAAGGGUUGGCAUUUGUUACAUAAUCCUAAUUCAUUACUAGCGCGUACUUUGAAGGCCAAGUAUUUUAAGGAUUUAGAUUUUUUAAACUCCAGGUUAGAAAAUUUACCUUCUCUUACCUGGCAGAGUUUAUGGACUGCAAAAGGGCUCCUUCUGAAAGGUUUGGGUUAGAGAAUUGGCAAUGGGAAGAAUGUCUCUAUCUGGGGGGAUGCAUGGGUUCCUAGAGGUUAUGAUUUCAGAGUUCAUAACUUGAAUACUAAUUGGAGUAUAUCAACAGUUGCAGAUUUAAUUGAUGGCAAUACAGGAGAAUAAAAAACCGAACUGAUCUAUAAUACCUUUUUGGAGAAGGAUGCAGAGAGGAUCUUAUGUAUUCCUUUGUUUAUGAAUCUACAUGAGGACCAUUUAAUCUGGCGCGGUAAGCCGACGGGGGAGUAUACGAUUUGUAGCGGGCACAAAUUUCUUUUACGUGAUAGACAGAAUCAAAUACAAUCUAACUACAGACAAUUUUACAAAAGAUUGUGGAGCUUAGAUUUACCCUCAAAAAUUAAAGUUACAAACUGGAGGUUAUCUUGUAACAGUUUGCCUACUUUCUGUAAUAUGCAUUUUAGAAGACUGCUGGGAUCCGCAACUUGUCGAAGGUGUCAGAAUGGAGCGGAAACGAGAGAGCAUUUGUUCAGGGAGGCAAAGGAGACAUGGGAGAAGUUAGUUGUUACCUGGCCUAUUACAGAGGAAAAUACAUAUUUCAAAGGAUGGUUUAAAAAUAUUUUUUAGUCAAACUCUCUGGUUAAGUGCAGGAUGAUAACAUGUGCUUUGUGGGCAAUUUGGACAUCAAGAAACAGAUUCAUUCAUAAAGGAGAAAUAAAAUCGAGUUCUCAAAUUAUAGAUUUGGCGAGUAACUACCUAAAAGAAUUGGAUGGGUUGAAUACAAACUUACCUGCGAGAUAGUUUCAUAUGGGUAGAUGGGUCGCUCCGAAUGGUUUGAGGUUAAAAAUCAAUUUUCAUGCGGCGUUCAACAAGCAAAAAAAUGAGUCAUGCUCUGGGUUAGUGGUACGAAACGAAAAAGCAGAAGUGAUUUGUACAAAAACAGUUAUGCAUGUGAAUAACCAUCUGUUUUUGUAGCAGAAGCGAUGGCGUGUUUUUAGGAGCUCAAUCUUGAGUUAUAUCGCGGGCUGAGGGAGGUUGAGAUUGAAGGUGACUCCCGUUCAGUGAUCCAGAAACUGCAAGAGGAGAAAGAAGAUAGAUUAGAAAUUGAAGUUUUUAUAAAAGAUUCAAAGCAACUGAAUUUAGGUUUUCAGUUAUGCGUUUUUAGGUUUAUUCAUAAAGAAUCUUACAAGGUUGCUCAUCUCAUAGCUAAAGAGAGACUCCAAAAGAGAGAGAUUCUAAAAGAGAGAGACAACUUAUUUGUUGAAUAUCGUUACUUCUGGUGUGGAGGAAGCGGUGGUCGCUGAUCGAAGUUGGACGGUUUCCAUGAGGGAAUGAACCGUCUGGAUUGCUGAAGGAAAGUUUUGGAAAGGGGUUUGAAGAGUUAGGGGGUGUGGUGUUUUUCAAAGAUAUUUUCUGUGGGAAGUGAUAGCUGCUGUUGAAAAUUAAUGAAGAGUAAUGAUGAAGUCUAUGCGGCUUCCUAGGUGCUUUGUUGCUUUUGAGGAAAGGGGUUUUAAUAGAUAACAGCUAGUUGACGAUGGCUCUAGAGCGUCCACUUCUGCAAGUUGGAUCAUUGUGUUUGGGUUGUUUUAAUUUUGUUUUUGUUUUCUUUCUUUUUGGUUUUUGGGCCUGUUUCUAGGUUGAUUAACUGCUAAUGUUUGC
rnacentral:lncRNA from 1 species